rnacentral:rRNA from 1 species
GGGAAAAAUGGGGGGCAGGCCUAACACAUGCAAGUCGAGCGGAAACGAGUUAACUGAACCUUCGGGGAACGUUAACGGCGUCGAGCGGCGGACGGGUGAGUAAUGCCUGGGAAAUUGCCCUGAUGUGGGGGAUAACCAUUGGAAACGAUGGCUAAUACCGCAUAAUAGCUUCGGCUCAAAGAGGGGGACCUUCGGGCCUCUCGCGUCAGGAUAUGCCCAGGUGGGAUUAGCUAGUUGGUGAGGUAAUGGCUCACCAAGGCGACGAUCCCUAGCUGGUCUGAGAGGAUGAUCAGCCACACUGGAACUGAGACACGGUCCAGACUCCUACGGGAGGCAGCAGUGGGGAAUAUUGCACAAUGGGCGCAAGCCUGAUGCAGCCAUGCCGCGUGUAUGAAGAAGGCCUUCGGGUUGUAAAGUACUUUCAGCAGUGAGGAAGGUGGGUAUGUUAAUAGCAUACACAUUUGACGUUAGCUGCAGAAGAAGCACCGGCUAACUCCGUGCCAGCAGCCGCGGUAAUACGGAGGGUGCGAGCGUUAAUCGGAAUUACUGGGCGUAAAGCGCAUGCUGGUGGCUUGUUAAGUCAGAUGUGAAAGCCCGGGGCUCAACCUCUGAAUUGCAUUUGAAACUGGCAAACUAGAGUACUGUAGAGGGGGGUAGAAUUUCAGGUGUAGUGGUGAAAUGUGUAGAGAUUUGAA